GUAGUAAUUUUUUAUUAAAAAAUAAUAAUAAUUUAUUAAAAAGUUAUACAUAUAAUAAUAAUUAUUAUUCUCAUCCCCUUUUCUCUUCUUUAUUUCAUUCAACACAAUAGAUCUUCACAUCUUACUACACUGCUCUUGGUGUUGGUUCAUAUUCUUCAAUACACGAAGCUUCCUAUGUUCAGAGAUGAACUUAUGAUCAUAAGACACAUGUGUCUUGUCUUUAGACCAAACAUGGCAAGAUCAACUUGAGUGAUGAAAUGGAUCAUAACAAGUGAGAAGAAAUAUUUAAUACCUUGACAACCGUGAAUGAGGUAUGGAUUUCCCCAAUAUCCAUGAAAGCAUCUGCAAAGGUAGCCAGAUCUCUCGGUUGAAUCGUAACAUGUACUUUUGUCGGCCUUACAUGCAUAACUGAAAAGAUCCUUCUGAGCUUGCUGGCACGUUUGGUUCCCUACUGCCCAGUCUAACAACACAGGAAACUCCUUCUUUUUCAACUUGGGAAGGUCUGUGGAUGAGAAGCUGUAGGCUCCAUUUUCAACCACAAAAGCAUAACCACAUGGAUUGAAGUCAUGUACUGAUGAGUGAUUGUUGAAUAGGCCUCCAGAACCAUAGGCUAUUUCUGUUAACACAUGACCUUGGGGUAUUGAAAUCUCGCAACAACCAGUACCUGAGCAAGAUUGAUUGGCCACGAUAUCAUCAAGCCUGUUGCACAAAGCCACACAUCCUGUGGUGUAGUUGUUUCCCCCAGAAUCAUUUGCUGAGAGUGCUCCAAUCGUGUCACAGCCAACUGCUGUCAACUUGUUUCGAGUUGGUGAGAUCUGAAAAUUUGUCAUGUUGACAUGCUUAACUGUUUGGUUCACACGUUUGCUCUUUUCUGCGUAGCAAUCACUAGCUACCGGCCAUGCAACGCGCAAUUCACCAUUGAGUGAGAUAUUUAGGACAGUUUGAUUACUCUUUUCCAAGAAAGGUAUGUUUGUUGAGGUUGGAGUUGAAGAUGUUUGAUUGCAAUUAAUGAGAAAGGUGUUGUCGAGGGAACAAUUCUCGGUGGUCCCAAAUGGGAAGGGAAUGGUGACAGAACCACACUUUGUUGGACAGUUUGGUAGUGACAUCGGUUGAGUUGCUGCUUUUGUAUAAAUGGCAGCAGCCACCAUCAGCAGCAGCUGUUUUAAGCGGACAGCCAUGGCUUUGCUUAUUUUUUCAGGUUUGUCAUUAUACAAAUCCUUGGAUUUUGUUUAGUAUUUAUUUAUUUAUUUAUUCUCCUUGUUAUGCUAUUAAAAAAUAGAAAAGUCAAAAUGAUUGAUUUUUCUUAUAUGGAAUGAAAUGAUCAAAUUAAACACGAUUUUGUCGAAUAUUUUUUUAUAAUGUGAUUUUAGUUUUUAAUAGCAGUGAUUGCAAUGUUGCCAACCAGUUGUUUAAGUUUUAUAGGUAAAAUUGGUCAGAAGACACAGUUGUGUUAGCAAAAGGAAAUUAAUUAAACAUGAUCAAAAGCUAGCUGCUAUAGCGCUAUUAACAUCAUAGGCUGCUGGGAGAUAACAUUGUCUUAGGACUCAUUCUAGCUAUAAAACUUUUUUUUUGUUGAUAAACCUAUAAAAUUUUAACAGCAUGGUUAGAGACGUUGCCAUCACUAUAUUAUUAAAAACUAAAAAUUCAUUAUAAUAAUAAAUGUAUAUAGUCAUGUUUAUAUAUUAUGUCCAGUCAAAAAAUUGUUAAUAUAUUAUGUUUCUGUCACACAAAAUGUGUAUAGAUUAUGUAUAAAAAAGAACCGUUGAGUUGUUAGUUAUGAUUCCAAAUGUGAAUUUGAAUACAUAUUAUAUUAUAAAUGGUCUAUCCCUUUUGAUUAUGAUAAUAUAAUAGAUAGUAACUUCUUUGUUAUUGACAAAGUCUUUGUUUUUGCUGACAUAGGUGUGCAUAUUUGUAUGCAUAUUAUAAAUGGUCUAUCCCUUUUGAUUAUGAUAGAUAGUAACAGAAUUAGGCUAAUCUCCAAACUAAAUUGCAAGUCCUUUUAGUGCCAAGCCAAAUUAAACUUAUAUCUCAGGCUAUUUUUUCAGCAAAAGCAAAAGUUUAGGUGAGUUGAAUUUUAAGAAUUCACGUAUCACUAAUACAAAAUAAACUCUUUUCAUCAUUUUUCAUUACUGAUGUAGCAUUUCUUGAUGUAGUGUUUAGGAUACUUUUAAUCGGUUACUGAAUUGAUAUAAUAAAGCCUUUUUACAUCAACUAUAAGAUGAUAACUGAUGCACAAAAUGAUUUUUACAUCGAUUAUGCCCUAAUAAGUAAUAACCAAUGUAACAAUGUAUACAAAAAAUAAAUCAAAAAUUAAAUAAUUGGAAACAUUAGGGAAAUUUAUAAAUAAAAUGCACAAAAAUUCCGAGGUCUAUAUAUGAUCUUGAGUAAUUACACAGACGCCUCUAAUUUGUUAAAUUUUUAUCCAAUUUUGGUUAAUUCUUCAUUGUAUGUAGUAAGAAAAAUCGAAGGCAGAUAUGAUAUAAACCAUGCAGUUAAGAACCAAAUGCUGACACAACAAAAGCUCUUGUAACUAAGGGUUUGUUUGGUUAGAGAGGAAUGAAGAAGAGGGGAGGUAUUAUUUUAAGUUUUAGUACUUUGGUUCAUUUUUCGGAGGGGAGUGAGCUAAAAUCCUUCCCCUUCCCUCCCUUCCCCUCCACUCCGUUGAACAAAACAUGCUAAGAUAAUGAUGCGUGCAUUUUUGACCCCAAAGAUAAUGAUAUGUGAAUUAGACACAACACAAUAAUACAUUCAAUCAACAAAAAAAUAUAGACAACCAAAAAUAUAUAGUAUUCAGAAGAAGUAAAAUACAUUCAACUAUAGGCAAAUACCAUAAGCAAAAACAAUAUGAUAACAAUAUGGGAGUCAAACACAACACAAUAAAUACAAUUAGCAACCCAAGAUUAUUUGCUGUUUUAUUUGAGAGCGAACUGAUUAUUCCCAACCCAAGAUUAUUUGCCGUUUUAUUUGAUGGAGAUAAUCAUGUGUCGCAUGUCGAAUCUCGGGUGGAUAUGGUGAAGGGGAGUGCAGACUAUUUUGAUGUCGAUAUUGCUGUGUAGAAGGAAGCAUUAUAUGAAUAAUUCAUUGUUCUACUUCUCUCAAUUAAGAUGUCUCCUCAUUAAAAUGCAUGGUGGAUUGGAAAUGGAAACAAUUGAGACUUCCUACUUGGUAGAAUUUUGUAAGAGGAAAGUCAUUGAGGAAACGACAUGUAUUCUCUUCAAAUACUUUACAUCCUUUCGAGUUCGAGGAAAAGUAGAACAAGAUUGACAUUGAUUUGGCACUCGUAAAUUUGGACAAUUACGAAAAUGAGGAAUAAAUGUUUUUCGCUAAUAAGUGUCCAAGUGUGGGGGAAGGUCCGGUUUUUAAAACAUUGGUAUAUAUAUUAAGAUCAUCUCAUUCUCAUGGAAAUGGUUCCUAGCUAGAGGCAACAAGGAUUUUGUAUCUAUUAAGAAUGGUAUUUUAAUUCACUAGAUUGUAUAGGCCUAAACUUAGUCUCAGAGAGGUGUUGGUUUGUACAUGUUAUUCUUUGUAUUUGUAUUGAGGUUGGAGUACCCUGAAAAGUCCCCUAGAAAAUAGUAUAUUUUUUUAGACAAUAUUUUACUCUUCAUUUGUACAACUUGUAGGUCAUACACAGAGACAGUAAUUGAGUAUGCCCCCCAAAUAAUGCCAUGUUACCAUUUCUGUUCUGUACAAUUAUUGUUCUUAACUGCA